CGUUGCAAAAUAACCAAAUUGCACAUUGCCAUCAAUCGAAAAUCGAUUGUUGAUGUGUUUUGUUGUAAGGGCUUUGUGUUGUUUGGCGAAAAUCGAAAGUGAGAAGAAAAACAAGCUAAAAUGAAUUCGAAUACCGAGAUGGAUAAAGACGAUCCAAUGUUAGACUUGUAUACUCAUCCUAAUAAUGAUAGCCGGAUCUGGGUCGGUAAUCUUGACUCAAGAGUGACAGAGUUUGAAUUGGUAAAACUGUUUCAAAAUGCUGGUACCAUUGACAAGCUUGAAUACCUCUUCCACAAAAUUGGACCCCAAGCAGGCCAACCCAGAGGAUAUGCUUUUCUCACAUUUAGUAAAAGAGAAGAAGCUAUACGAGCUAGAAAAGAAUUUGAUGGAAAGUCUCUUCUUGGACGUACUCUUUUAGUGAAACCUGCACGAAGUGUCCAGAAAGAUGACCUUGCAGGACCUAAAACAACUCAACUCAGCAUACCUGCAUUGAGUGGAGCAAAAGACAAUAAACAUAAAUUAAAUCUUGAACAGCAGAUCAAAGCAAUUGAAAGCAAACUGAAAGCAAUGGAAAAUUCACCAGCAACACUUCCUGAUUUGCCACCAAAUUUCGUAUCCCCUCUUAGCCGGAUGGCUGCCAGACCAGCGGUUCAACCUUAUCCUAGUAGGUCUAAUCGGUCUAGGGGUUCCAGACCGUACCGAAGCCGUGGAGGCCAUAGAGACCGGCGACGUUAAAAUUUUAUACAUGACUAUGGCAAUUUCAGAUGUUCGCCAGUACAAGACAAAGUGUUAAGCACUGAUUUUUAAUAUUUAUUAUUGUCAUUAACAAGAUCCCGUUCGUCUUGAGAUGUAUUGAAAUUCCGCGUGAUGGUGAGCUCAAGAAACCAAGUAAAGGGUCCUAUGUUUUGGAAUUCUCAAUUUACCGUACAACUAUCUAACAACAUCUUAAUCCAGUGACAACCAAAACACGCUUGACCGGCAGAGUUUUAAAAAAUGUUUUACGAAACGUAAACCUGCAUUCAAAAUUCUUACCACACAUUAGAAAUGGAGAAACUGUGUGAUGGAUAACACAUAGAUGGAAAGUUUACAUUUUUCAUUAUCAUUUGUUUGUUGUUUUUUUUUUUUUCAUUGUUUUAAUAAAAAAUUUUAAAUUUCAA